UACGGGGGGGGCAAGCGUUGUUCGGAAUUACUGGGCGUAAAGGGCUCGUAGGCGGCCAACUAAGUCAGACGUGAAAUCCCUCGGCUUAACCGGGGAACUGCGUCUGAUACUGGAUGGCUUGAGUUUGGGAGAGGGAUGCGGAAUUCCAGGUGUAGCGGUGAAAUGCGUAGAUAUCUGGAGGAAUACCGGUGGCGAAGGCGGCAUCCUGGACCGAGAUUGACGCUGAACGGCGAAAGCUAGGGGAGCAAACGGG
rnacentral:rRNA from 1 species